rnacentral:rRNA from 1 species
CCUACGGGGGGCUGCAGUGGGGAAUAUUGGACAAUGGGGGCAACCCUGAUCCAGCCAUGCCGCGUGUGUGAAGAAGGCCCUCGGGUUGUAAAGCACUUUCAGUGAGGAAGAACGCCUGGUGGUUAAUACCCAUCAGGAAAGACAUCACUCACAGAAGAAGCACCGGCUAACUCCGUGCCAGCAGCCGCGGUAAUACGGAGGGUGCGAGCGUUAAUCGGAAUUACUGGGCGUAAAGCGCGCGUAGGUGGCUUGAUAAGCCGGUUGUGAAAGCCCCGGGCUCAACCUGGGAACGGCAUCCGGAACUGUCAAGGUAGAGUGCAGGAGAGGAAGGUAGAAUUCCCGGUGUAGCGGUGAAAUGCGUAGAGAUCGGGAGGAAUACCAGUGGCGAAGGCGGCCUUCUGGACUGACACUGACACUGAGGUGCGAAAGCGUGGGUAGCAAACAGGAUUAGAUACCCCAGUAGUC